rnacentral:rRNA from 1 species
CCUACGGGAGGCAGCAGUGGGGAAUAUUGCACAAUGGGGGAAACCCUGAUGCAGCGACGCCGCGUGAGUGAAGAAGUAAUUCGUUAUGUAAAGCUCUAUCAGCAGGGAAGAAAAUGACGGUACCUGAGUCAGAAGCCCCGGCUAACUACGUGCCAGCAGCCGCGGUAAUACGUAGGGGGCAAGCGUUAUCCGGAUUUACUGGGUGUAAAGGGAGCGUAGACGGCAGUGCAAGUCUGGAGGGAAAGGCGGGGGCUCAACCCCCGGACUGCUCUGGAAACGGUACGGCUGGAGUGCAGGAGAGGUAGGUGGAAUUGCUAGUGUAGCGGUGAAAUGCGUAGAUAUUAGGAGGAACACCAGUGGCGAAGGCGGCUUACUGGACUGUAACUGACGUUGAGGCUCGAAAGCGUGGGGAGCAAACAGGAUUAGAUACCCUGGUAGUC